CCAGGGGGUGAGGCAGGGCAGCCUCUCACACUGGGCAGCUGCUGAGGGCAGAGAGCACUUGCCUGUGGAGUCAGUCAGGGAUGGACACACUGGGAUAGUCAGCCAGCUGAGAAUUCUGGUUAUUCUAAGUAGUUUGGACAGUUAUUUUCAGGAAUUACUCAAACAAUUAAGCAGUACAGAUGGCAGUUUUGUACUUGGAAACUUCAGGCCCCUGCUGUCACCCUGCUAAUUACAACUGCAUUCCCAGUUGUGGUAAAUGGCCACGUCCCUCAUAACUGCACCUGAAGAGCCACAACUUGCCAGUGAGUGGAAGGUGGUAUCAUUCCAGAGAACAGAGGAAACCAGAACUGGGCAAGACUGAGAUGUGAGGUAAUGAGGAACCGUGUGCCAGGAGCUCCUGAGAACACGGACAAGAGAACUGACUGCGUGGGAAGAUGAGCAGCCCUGAAGAUCCCAGAGCAGAGGGAGCAGAAAGCAAGUCAGCUUCAUGAGACAGCAAACAGGAUGUCCUUGGAGAAAGGCUGCAAGGAGAGGCAUGUAUUUGCACUCUGUUGCUUGGAAUGUUACAACCCCAGCUUCUCUUGAGGGUCUCUUUCUGAAAAUUCUACUUAUCCAAUAAAGAAUAUUAUG